rnacentral:lncRNA from 1 species
GUGUAUUUUCCCUCUGGGGGAACAAACAUUAUGCUUAAUCAAGCACCUUAGAGGAUAAACCUUACUAGAAACUGACACUGAAUACAAGUGAAACUGAUUUGUUCUGUCAUUUCUGUUGUGCAUGUGCUGAAGAGAUGAGUCAAAUGCAGGAGAGGGCCAGCAUAAACAGAGAACAGUAACACAAAACUACAUCAGGAAGCUGUGGGUUUAACAGGACAGGUUCUAAAAUCCAGAGUGAGAGUCCUCAAAUGUGGAUUGUGUUCCUGAUACAAUGUGUCAAGUGUCCCCCCCUAUGGAGAGGAAAAUAAAUUGAAGGAAGUAACAGAGGACAGUAACCAAGAGUUGGAGAAACAGAACUAUGGAAGAUGGAUGAGUCUAUGUAAAGUUUGGGAAGUGAGGAAGCUCAGCAUUUCACGGAUCAGAUGAGGGGACAAGCGUCCUACGAUCAGGAUCAGACUGAGGAAAAGAAAGCUGUUCUUGAUCUGGAAAUGUACCGAAUGCAGAACAAGACAGUUUCCCUCCUUGAGACUGGAGAUACGUAUCUAACAGCGACAGAGGCAUGAUCCUUCUCCUCAUGGUUGGACUUCCUUCUUCAUGAUGAGACAACAACUUUACAAGGAAUGGAUGAAAACAAUAUUUUCGACAGAGAGGGCAAAAAACCAAGCAGGAAGUUUUUUCACUUCUCCCUGGAAU